rnacentral:rRNA from 1 species
GGUCAAGUGAAGAAGCGCAUACGGUGGAUGCCUUGGCAGUCAGAGGCGAUGAAAGACGUGGUAGCCUGCGAAAAGCUUCGGGGAGUCGGCAAACAGACUUUGAUCCGGAGAUCUCUGAAUGGGGGAACCCACCUAGGAUAACCUAGGUAUCUUGUACUGAAUCCAUAGGUGCAAGAGGCGAACCAGGGGAACUGAAACAUCUAAGUACCCUGAGGAAAAGAAAUCAACCGAGAUUCCCUUAGUAGUGGCGAGCGAACGGGGAUUAGCCCUUAAGCUUCAUUGAUUUUAGCGGAACGCUCUGGAAAGUGCGGCCAUAGUGGGUGAUAGCCCCGUACGCGAAAGGAUCUUUGAAGUGAAAUCGAGUAGGACGGAGCACGAGAAACUUUGUCUGAACAUGGGGGGACCAUCCUCCAAGGCUAAAUACUACUGACUGACCGAUAGUGAACCAGUACCGUGAGGGAAAGGCGAAAAGAACCCCGGAGAGGGGAGUGAAAUAGAACCUGAAACCGUAUGCGUACAAGCAGUGGGAGCCUACUUGUUAGGUGACUGCGUACCUUUUGUAUAAUGGGUCAGCGACUUAUAUUCAGUGGCAAGCUUAACCGUAUAGGGUAGGCGUAGCGAAAGCGAGUCUUAAUAGGGCGUUUAGUCGCUGGGUAUAGACCCGAAACCGGGCGAUCUAUCCAUGAGCAGGUUGAAGGUUAGGUAACACUGACUGGAGGACCGAACCCACUCCCGUUGAAAAGGUAGGGGAUGACUUGUGGAUCGGAGUGAAAGGCUAAUCAAGCUCGGAGAUAGCUGGUUCUCCUCGAAAGCUAUUUAGGUAGCGCCUCAUGUAUCACUCUGGGGGGUAGAGCACUGUUUCGGCUAGGGGGUCAUCCCGACUUACCAAACCGAUGCAAACUCCGAAUACCCAGAAGUGCCGAGCAUGGGAGACACACGGCGGGUGCUAACGUCCGUCGUGAAAAGGGAAACAACCCAGACCGCCAGCUAAGGUCCCAAAGUUGUGGUUAAGUGGUAAACGAUGUGGGAAGGCUUAGACAGCUAGGAGGUUGGCUUAGAAGCAGCCAUCCUUUAAAGAAAGCGUAAUAGCUCACUAGUCGAGUCGGCCUGCGCGGAAGAUGUAACGGGGCUCAAACCACACACCGAAGCUGCGGGUGUCACGCAAGUGACGCGGUAGAGGAGCGUUCUGUAAGCCUGUGAAGGUGAGUUGAGAAGCUUGCUGGAGGUAUCAGAAGUGCGAAUGCUGACAUGAGUAACGACAAUGGGUGUGAAAAACACCCACGCCGAAAGACCAAGGGUUCCUGCGCAACGUUAAUCGACGCAGGGUUAGUCGGUUCCUAAGGCGAGGCUGAAAAGCGUAGUCGAUGGGAAACAGGUUAAUAUUCCUGUACUUCUGGUUACUGCGAUGGAGGGACGGAGAAGGCUAGGCCAGCUUGGCGUUGGUUGUCCAAGUUUAAGGUGGUAGGCUGAAAUCUUAGGUAAAUCCGGGGUUUCAAGGCCGAGAGCUGAUGACGAGU